rnacentral:rRNA from 1 species
UACGACUACAUAUCAGGCAUAUCAAUAAGCGGAGGAAAAGAAACUAACUAGGAUUCCCUCAGUAACGGCGAGUGAAGCGGGAAGAGCUCAAAUUUGAAAUCUUCAAGGUUUUACCUUGACGAAUUGUAGUUUAAAGAAGUGUUUUCUGUUGGAGUUUUGGUAAAAGUUCUUUGGAAUAGGACAUCAUAGAGGGUGAGAAUCCCGUAUUUGACCGUUAUUUUCAGCUGUGUGAUACACUUUCAAAGAGUCGGAUUGUUUGGGAAUGCAGUCCAAAAUGGGUGGUAAAUUUCAUCUAAAGCUAAAUAUUGGCGAGAGACCGAUAGCGAACAAGUACCGUGAGGGAAAGAUGAAAAGAACUUUGAAAAGAGAGUUAAACAGUACGUGAAAUUGUCAAAAGGGAAGCGUUUGACACCAGUGUUGUUUUCUCGAAAAUCAAUUAAAGAUGAGUGGAUUUUGUAUUGUAAUUGACUUUAUCAGCUUACUGCUACUUUUUUCUUAUCUUUUUUAAUGCACUUUUCGUUUAACAAGUCAACAUCAAUUUCUUUUGUUGUAAAAGAGUCAUUGGAAGGUGGCUUUUUCUUCGGAAAAAGUGUUUAUAGCCUUUGGCUUCUGCAAUCGGAGAGAUUGAGGUCUGCAGCGUAGAUCCUUCGGGGUUAGAUACAUUUGUGCUAAGCUAUAGUUCUUUAUAGACAACUUGUUGACUAUAAUCAAUCCUGUAACUUACUCGCCUAUGCUAUUUUACCUACGCUUAGGAUGUUGACACACGCGCGUGCUCG